GUAGGGAAUAUUGGGCAAUGGGCGAAAGCCUGACCCAGCAACGCCGCGUGAAGGAAGAAGGUUUUCGGAUCGUAAACUUCUAUCCUUGGUGAAGAUAAUGACGGUAGCCAAGAAGGAAGCCCCGGCUAACUACGUGCCAGCAGCCGCGGUAAUACGUAGGGGGCAAGCGUUGUCCGGAAUGAUUGGGCGUAAAGGGCGCGUAGGCGGCCCGGUAAGUCUGAAGUGAAAGUCCUGCUUUUAAGGUGGGAAUUGCUUUGGAUACUGUCGGGCUUGAGUGCAGGAGAGGUAAGCGGAAUUCCCGGUGUAGCGGUGAAAUGCGUAGAGAUCGGGAGGAACACCAGUGGCGAAGGCGGCUUACUGGACUGUAACUGACGCUGAGGCGCGAAAGUGUGGGGAGCAAACAGGAUUAGAUACCCGAGUAGUCC
rnacentral:rRNA from 1 species